AUGGUGGAGAUGAGUUCAGUUGAGAAUUUCUGUUAUUUCUACCUGAUUUUCUGUUAUGAAGCUUAUUCUGAGCUGGUUCAGGAGGUACAACAAGGCAGCGUAUUUGUGGUGGCACAGAACCAUGGACGUCCCGAUGGUAGUUUGGGGCAGCUCAAGCCUUGUUCCGAGAUUCUGAAGGAAGGCACAAUAAGAAUACCGCAAGUGUGCUCCAUGCCGCACAUCAAUACCGUCUUCUUGAUGGAGAGUUUCUAA